rnacentral:rRNA from 1 species
AUUGAACGCUGGCGGCAGGCUUAACACAUGCAAGUCGAACGAGUGGCGGACGGGUGAGUAGUGCUUGGGAAUCUGGCUAAUGGAGGGGGCUAACGACGGGAAACUGUCGCUAAUACCGCGUACCAUCGGAUGAGCCCAAGUGGGAUUAGGGAGUUGGUGGGGUAAGGGCACACCAAGACGACGAUCGCUAGCGGGUCUGAGAGGGUGACCGGCCACCCCGUGGCUGGGACACGGCCCGGACGCCUACGGGAGGCAGCAGUGGGGAAUAUUGCGCAAUGGGGGAAACUCUGACCGAGCCAGGCCGCUUGAAUGAAGAAGGCUUUCGGGUUGUAAAACUCUUUUGUUGACGAAGCGUUAAUCACACAGAAAGCACCGGCUAACUACGUGCCAGCAGCCGCGGUAAUUC